CGGUGACGACGAAUCCCGAUUUAGGUCGUUCCAGAGCGGCCAAUUCUAGGGUUCUUGGGACCGGCCGAUUCCGAUUUCCCUGUUCGAGAACGCUCAUCGAGACCAUGAAACCUAACUGGAAAUCCUUGAGAUCCGUCGCUGCUCCUUUUGCUACAACUCCCCGGCCGGCACUGUGGCGAUUCUCGGCUAUCUUUUACGGACUCUCAUUUGGUUUUUUCCGAGAAGUUGGCUUUGUUCUUGAUUGUCCUGAUUUUGGUCCCUCUAACGAUGGAUGCUCAAGCCCAUGAAGAAGGCCUUGUAUCGUGCUAAAUUGAAAGAAGCUGCUACAAAAACAUGAGAAACACAUAGAGUCUCCUCUUGUGAGGUACAAUGACCAUGAUCAACCUGUCUGCAGGGUUUGUGGUGUCAUUUUGUAAUCUGAAUCAAUGUGGGCUUGCACACCAAGCAUCUCGUAAACAUUAUGAGGUAUCACUGUUUGCUGAUGAAAUUACUAUCAUGUAUCUGAGGCAAUUCUAAAUGUCAAGGCUUCUACAGCUGGUUUAUCACGAGUCAAUGGUGGGAAAUCUGUAGCCUCCACAGAGGUUCAUAAACCUGAAUCUAAGUAUCCAAAAGAGUUUCAAAAAAAUAAUUUUGGGGCCCUCAAAGAGUUGCAUAAACCAAGGUCAUCUUCUGAGCUGCCAGAAGGCUUUUUUGAUAGUCCUGAAACAAAAAGACGGAGCUGCUUGCGUGAGUGAGUGAGUGCAUAUGUGUGUUGAUGUUUUGAUGAACCAUAAUUCUAUUUUUUCCCUUU